rnacentral:rRNA from 1 species
AACGCUGGCGGCGUGCCUAACACAUGCAAGUCGAACGGUUCUAAGCGAAAGCUUAGGGUAGUGGCGAACGGGUGAGUAAAAGGUAGGAAUCUGCCCCUUGGACGGAGAUAGCUACUGGAAACGGUAGGUAAACUUCGAUAAGCCCGAGAGGGGAAAGUGGUGAGACAGCCGAGGGAUGAGCCUACUCUCCAUCAGGUAGUUGGUGAGAUAAAAGCUUACCAAGCCGAUGACGGAUAACCGGUGUGAGAGCAUGAACGGUCACAAGGGCACUGAGACACGGGCCCUACUCCUACGGGAGGCAGCAGUGGGGAAUCUUGGACAAUGGGCGGAAGCCUGAUCCAGCGACGCCGCGUGGAGGAAGAAGUCCUUCGGGAUGUAAACUUCUGAACUAGCCGAAUAAAAGGCCUGUGGACACACAGGAGAAGAAAGUAAGCUAGGAAAAGUCCCGGCUAACUACGUGCCAGCAGCCGCGGUAAGACGUAGGGGGCGAGCGUUACCCGGAAUUACUGGGCGUAAAGGGGGCGUAGGCGGUGAUACAAGUCAUCUGUGAAAACCUAUUGCUCAACGAUAGGCUAGCGGAUGAAACUGUAUUACUUGAGUGCACCAGAGGUAGACGGAAUUACCCGAGUAGGGGUGAAAUCCGCAGAUACGGGUAGGAACGCCGGUGGAGAAGUCGACCUCCUGGCCUGUUACUGACGCUGAGGCGCGAAAGCUGGGGGAGCAAACAGGAUUAGAUACCCUGGUAGUCCCAGCUGUAAACUCUGGGUACUAGGUGUGGGGGGGCUUCGAUGCCCUCUGUGCCGUAGUUAACGCAUUAAGUACCCCGCCUGGGGAGUACGAUCGCAAGGUUGAAACUCAAAGGAAUUGACGGGGGCCCGCACAAGCGGUGGAGCAUGUGGUUUAAUUCGAUGCAACGCGAAGAACCUUACCAGGGCUCGACAUCUACCUGGCGGUCUUUGGAAACAGAGGCUUUCCUUCGGGACGGGUAGACAGGUGGUGCAUGGCUGUCGUCAGCUCGUGUCGUGAGAUGUUGGGUUAAGUCCCGCAACGAGCGCAACCCCUGUUCUUAGUUGCCAGCGCGUUAAGGCGGGCACUCUAAGGAGACUGCCGGUGACAAACCGGAGGAAGGUGGGGACGACGUCAAGUCCUCAUGCCCUUUAUGUCCUGGGCUACACACGUGCUACAAUGGCCUGUACAGCGGGUUUGCGAAGUCGUGAGGCGGAGCCAAUCCUUCAAAGCAGGUCUCAGUUCGGAUUGCAGGCUGCAACUCGCCUGCAUGAAGCCGGAAUCGCUAGUAAUCGCGAAUCAGCAUGUCGCGGUGAAUACGUUCCCGGGCCUUGUACACACCGCC